AACAAAAAAAGUCAAAAUUAAGAAACUGAAAAUUUGAUAAACAAUUCAUGUUUUAAGAAGGGGUACAUUGGCCACUCUUGUUGCCUAGAGGAGAUGCAUCCAAUUUCAUUAUUGCAUGUUGAGCUAUAGCCGGUGAUUUAUCAGUUUUAAGUGAAUUUGUUUAAGACAGAAACCUAUAAAAUAAGCAUUUCAGACCAAAACGGGGCUUCAAAUGGAUGUACGGCAUGUUGUGACAGUGACAACAUGGAGAGUCCCCUAAGAUUGUGAUGUGUUUUGUUUCUUUUUUUGUGUUCAGUUUGUUAUAUUUGAGUUUUUAUAUAUUUUAGAGGCAUUCAUCAAUGUCAUUACUAAUGACAAACAGGAGAAACGGAGACGGGAGAAUGGAAAGACUGAUCUUCACAGACAGCAGUCAAAACAAAGCAAAAGAAAGCAUUCAAAACUGGAAAUAAGAUCGAAAGCCGUGGAACAUCUAGACGAGUCAUGGACCCCAACAUCUAAAAAGAACUUGACGGAGUGCAUUCGGUUGGACAUAACUUCAUCCGAGAAGACUGAUGACAAAGACUCAACAAAGAGGAUCAGGCUCCUAUUUUCCUGGGAAUCAACCAGACCGUGCAAGGGAAAAGAGGCACUGGACAAGGCAUAUAGACACAAGGUCCUGAUGACCGAAUCUGCCAGACGCCAGUUGGUAUGUGUAAGGGGUGGUAUAGAGGACACAAUAACACCUCCUCCUGAGAAGUGUCUUGCUUGGGCCAUUUCCAGGCACUACUCCUCUUAGAGGUCAAACGUGGUUUCAGCUAUCAAGAGGAUACAAGAAAAAGAACUUUUUAAUUCUGUGGUUGUGUAUUUCCAGAUGUAAAUAUUGAUAGUUGUUUUGGGUUUUUUUAUAAUGUACAUGUAAUCAACAGUUCAGGGUAUAUAGUUUUUGCACUGUUGGUCUGUCUGUAUGCAAAACUGUAAACCAGGCAUAAAGCUUUUGAGUGGAUGGGGCAACUGCUUUCACAUUUCACAGAUGUAUUCCAAGAUUUACAUACAGAUGCAAUGUUGAUGUUUUGACAUAUCUGUAAAAAUUGUUAUGCUUUUUCAUAGAUUUAUUUUUUUUAUAAUACUGGGGUAACUUAAUUGAGUCCCUGAAUGUCAAUAGUCACUAAUUUGGUUUUCAGUAUAAAAUAUUGUUUUUUUUUUUAUUAUAGUAACUAAAAGCAAGCCAUGAUUU